AGCAGCCGCGGUAAUUCCAGCUCCAAUAGCGUAUAUUAAAGUUGUUGCAGUUAAAAAGCUCGUAGUUGAAUUUCGAGACCGGUUUAUUGGUCGUGCUUUUGUACGUACUGGUAUUAUUGGUUUCUCCUUUCUGACGAAUCUUAAUGCCAUUAAUUUGGUGUUUUGGGGAAUCAGGACUGUUACUUUGAAAAAAUUAGAGUGUUUAAAGCAGGCUCACGCUUGAAUACAUUAGCAUGGAAUAACGAAAUAGGACGUUUGAUUUUAUUUUGUUGGUUUCUAGGAUCGACGUAAUGAUUAAUAGGGAUAGUUGGGGGCAUUAGUAUUCAAUUGUCAGAGGUGAAAUUCUUGGAUUUAUUGAAGACUAACUACUGCGAAAGCAUUUGCCAAGGAUGUUUUCAUUAAUCAAGAACGAAAGUUAGGGGAUCGAAGACGAUCAGAUACCGUCGUAGUCUUAACCAUAAACUAUGCCGACUAGGGAUCGGAUGAUGUUAAUUUUUUAAUGACUCA
rnacentral:rRNA from 1 species